GACGAACGCUGGCGGCGUGCUUAACACAUGCAAGUCGAACGGAAAGGCCCUGCGUUUGUGGGGUGCUCGAGUGGCGAACGGGUGAGUAACACGUGAGUAACCUGCCCUUGACUUUGGGAGAACUUCACGAAACUGGGGCUCAUACCGGAUAGGAUCUCCUGCUGCAUGGUGGGGGUUGGAGAGUUACGGCGGUUGGGGAUGGACUCGCGGCUUAUCAGCUUGUUGGUGGGGUAGUGGCUUACCAAGGCUUUGACGGGUAGCCGGCCUGAGAGGGUGACCGGCCACAUUGGGACUGAGAUACGGCCCAGACUCGUACGGGAGGCAGCAGUGGGGAAUAUUGCACAAUGGGCGGAAGCCUGAUGCAGCAACGCCGCGUGCGGGAUGACGGCCUUCGGGUUGUGAACCGCUUUCGCCUGUGACGAAGCGUGAGUGACGGUAAUGGGUAAAGAAGCACCGGCUAACUACGUG
rnacentral:rRNA from 1 species